GAUCAUUACCGAGUUUACAACUCCCAAACCCCUGUGAACAUACCAAUUGUUGCCUCGGCGGAUCAGCCCGCUCCCGGUAAAACGGGACGGCCCGCCAGAGGACCCCUAAACUCUGUUUCUAUAUGUAACUUCUGAGUAAAACCAUAAAUAAAUCAAAACUUUCAACAACGGAUCUCUUGGUUCUGGCAUCGAUGAAGAACGCAGCAAAAUGCGAUAAGUAAUGUGAAUUGCAGAAUUCAGUGAAUCAUCGAAUCUUUGAACGCACAUUGCGCCCGCCAGUAUUCUGGCGGGCAUGCCUGUUCGAGCGUCAUUUCAACCCUCAAGCCCUCGGGUUUGGUGUUGGGGAUCGGCGAGCCCUUGCGGCAAGCCGGCCCCGAAAUCUAGUGGCGGUCUCGCUGCAGCUUCCAUUGCGUAGUAGUAAAACCCUCGCAACUGGUACGCGGCGCGGCCAAGCCGUUAAACCCCCAACUUCUGAAUGUUGACCUCGGAUCAGGUAGGAAUACCCGCU
rnacentral:misc_RNA from 1 species